CCUGGUUGAUCCUACUAGUAGUCAUAUAAUUGUCUCAAAGAUUAAGCUAUGCAUGUGUAAGUAUGAACUAAUUCAAAUUGUGAAACUCUGAAUGGCACAUUAAAUCAGUUAUAGUUUGUUUGAUGGUACCUGCUACUUGGAUAAUCGUUGUAAUUCUGGAGCUAAUACGUGUAACAAACCCCGACUUCUAGAAGGGAUGCAUUUAUUAGAUAAAAGGCCGAUAUGGGCUUUGCUUGCUGCUCUACUGAUUCAUGAUAACUUGACGGAUUGCAUCAUUAAAAUUUCUGCCCUAUUAAAUUUCGAUGGUAGGAUAAUGGCCUACUAUGGUAGUGACAGGUGACGGAGAAUUAGGGUUCGAUUACGGAAAGGGAGCCUAAGAAACGGCUACCACAUCCAAGUAAGGCAGUAGGCACACAAAUUACCCAAUCCUGACACGAGGAGGUAAUGACAAUAAAUAACAAUACCGGGUUCUCAUAAGUCUGGUAAUUGGAAUGAGUAUAAUCUAAAUCCCUUAACGAGGAUCCAUUGGAGAGCAAGUCUGGUGCCAGCAGUAAUUCCAGCUUCAAUAGAGUAUAUUUAAGUUGUUGCAGUUAAAAAUCUCAUAGUUGAACCUUGGGUUGGGCAGAGCAGUUCGCCCCUGGUUUGCACCGAUCUACUCAUCCAAGUGCUUAAAGCAAGCCUACACUCUAGAUACAUUAGCAUGGGAUAACAUCAUAGGAUUUCGGUCUUAUUUUGUUGGCAUUCAAGAUCAAAGUAAUGAUUAACAGGGACAGUCGGGGGCAUUCGUAUUUCAUAGUCAGAGGUGAAAUUCUUGGAUUCAUGAUAGAUGAACAACUGCGAAAGCAUUUGCCAAGGAUGUUUUCAUAAAUUGAGAACAAAAGUUGAGGGCAUAAAGACGAUCGAAUACCAUUCUCGUCUCAACUAUAAAUGAUGCCAACCAGGUAUUGGCAGAUGUUACUUAUAGGACUCUGCCGGCACCUUAUGAGAAAUCAAAGUCUUUAGGUUUUGGGGGAAGUAUGGUUGCAAGGUUGAAAGUUAAAGGAAUUGACAGAAGGGCACCACCAAACGUGGAGCCUAAUUUAAUUUGAUUCAACACGGGGAAAAUUACCAAGUUCAAACAUAGUAAGGAUUGAUAGAUUGAGAGCUCUUUCUUAAUUCUAUGGGUGGUGGUGCAUGGCCGUUCUUACUUGGUGGAGUGAUAUGACUCGUUAAUUCUGUUAACGAAUGAGACCUCAGCCUGCUAACUAGCUAAGCAAAGGUGACCCUCCACGACUAGCUUCUUAGAGGGACUAUGGUGCUUUGGCCAAGGAAGUUUGAGGCGAUAACAGGUUUGUGAUGCCCUUAGAUGUUCUAGGCCACACGCGCGCUACAUUGAUGUAUUCAAUGAGUUUAUAGCCUUGGCUGACAGUUCUGGGUAAUCUUUGAAAUUUCAUCAUGAUGGGGAUAGAUUAUUGCAAUUAUUGGUCUUCAACGAGGAAUUCCUAGUAAGCAUGACUCAUCAGAGGAGGUUCCCAUCAAGCGAUUCGGCGUUCCGAGUGUUUUUAAAUUUUUUAUGAUUUUUCCUAUUUUUUGGCUUCUAAAAAUUAGAAAAAUAAAAUAUGUUGAAUCUGGCCUCCAAAUUUUUACAUGUUGAAGGUUCAAUU
rnacentral:rRNA from 1 species